ensembl:lncRNA
CCCACCCAUCAUUUACCAUCAUUUUGGCCUUGUUUGCCAUCAGUGCCAAAACUGGUUUGGAGAAGAACUUCUGGUCCAGUGAAGUCACGCUGUGCAGGGAGUCAAUUAGAAGAGUGCAGGCCUCUACGGGGAUUGAUUGAGCCAGUCGGCGCCACAGACACCCUCCAACCACGUGCUUUUUGCUAAGGAAGGAGGACGAAUUCACAGCACAGCGCCCCAAGGGCAGUGACUGGGCACUGGGAUAAGGUGGAGAAAAGAAGUGGCACCUCAUCAGGCCUGAUUGUGGAGAUUGAUCAGGGGAGGCUUUUG